rnacentral:rRNA from 1 species
UGGGGAAUAUUGCACAAUGGGCGCAAGCCUGAUGCAGCCAUGCCGCGUGUAUGAAGAAGGCCUUCGGGUUGUAAAGUACUUUCAGCGGGGAGGAAGGGAGUAAAGUUAAUACCUUUACUCAUUGACGUUACCCGCAGAAGAAGCACCGGCUAACUCCGUGCCAGCAGCCGCGGUAAUACGGAGGGUGCAAGCAUUAAUCGGAAUUACUGGGCGUAAAGAGCACGCAGGCGGUUGGUUAAGUCAGAUGUGAAAUCCCCGGGCUCAACCUGGGAACUGCAUCUGAUACUGGCAAGCUUGAAUCUCGUAGAGGGGGGUAGAAUUCCGGGUGUAGCGGUGAAAUGCGUAGAGAUCAGGAGGAAUACCGGUGGCGAAGGCGGCCCCCUGGACGAAGACUGACGCUCAGGUGCGAAAGCGUGGGGAGCAAACAGG